rnacentral:rRNA from 1 species
UACAGAGGGUGCAAGCGUUGUUCGGAAUUAUUGGGCGUAAAGGGCGCGUAGGCGGUGCUGUAAGUCCCCCGUUAAAUCCAGCUGCUCAACAGAUGGGCCGCGGAGGAUACUACAGAGCUAGGAGGCAGGAGAGGCAAGCGGUACUCAGUGGGUAGGGGUAAAAUCCGUUGAUCCAUUGAAGACCACCAGUGGCGAAGGCGGCUUGCCAGAAUGCGCUCGACGGUGAGGGAUGAAAGCUGGGGGAGCAAACCGG